rnacentral:rRNA from 1 species
GCUCACCAUGCAGUCGUGGGGCAGCAGGGGGGAACUUCGGUUCCCCUGCUGGNGNNNNNNNCNNGGGUGCGUAACACGUAGCUACUUGCCUUGUGNNNNNNAUAACCCGGGGAAACCCGGGCUAAUACCGCAUACACCCGAGAGGGGAAAGGCCCGUAAGGGUCGCUGCAAGAUAGGGCUGCGGCGUAUCAGCUAGUUGGUGGGGUAACGGCCUACCAAGGCGAUGACGCGUAGCUGGUCUGAGAGGAUGAUCAGCCACACUGGAACUGAGACACGGUCCAGACUCCUACGGGAGGCAGCAGUGGGGAAUCUUGGGCAAUGGGCGAAAGCCUGACCCAGCAACGCCGCGUGGAGGAAGACGCCCUUCGGGGUGUAAACUCCUUUUGACUUGGAAGAGAAAGACGGUACCUGUCGAAUAAGCUCCGGCUAACUCCGUGCCAGCAGCCGCGGUAAUACGGGGGGAGCGAGCGUUACUCGGAAUCACUGGGCGUAAAGGGUGCGUAGGCGGUCAGAUAAGUUAGGAGUGAAAUCCCACAGCUCAACUGUGGAACUGCUCCUAAAACUGUCUGACUAGAGUCCGGGAGAGGCUGCGGGAAUUCCUGGUGUAGGGGUGAAAUCCGUAGAGAUCAGGAGGAAUGCCGAAAGCGAAGGCGCGCAGCUGGAACGGAACUGACGCUGAGGCACGAAAGCG